GAACAUAAGAGUUUGAUCCUGGCUCAGGAUGAACGCUGGCGGCGUGCUUAACACAUGCAAGUCGAGCGGAGAUAUUCGGAAAGCUUGCUUUUUGAAUAUCUUAGCGGCGGACGGGUGAGUAACGUGUGGGCAACCUGCCUCAUACAGAGGGAUAAUCAUGUGAAAACGUGACUAAUACCGCAUGUCAUUACCGAAGGGCAUCCUUUGGUAAGAAAAGGAGAAAUCCGGUAUGAGAUGGGCCCGCAUCUGAUUAGCUAGUUGGUGAGAUAACAGCCCACCAAGGCGACGAUCAGUAGCCGACCUGAGAGGGUGAUCGGCCACAUUGGGACUGAGACACGGCCCAAACUCCUACGGGAGGCAGCAGUGGGGAAUAUUGCACAAUGGGGGGAACCCUGAUGCAGCAACGCCGCGUGAAGGAAGACGGUUUUCGGAUUGUAAACUUCUAUCAAUAGGGACGAAGAAAGUGACGGUACCUAAAUAAGAAGCCCCGGCUAACUACGUGCCAGCAGCCGCGGUAAUACGUAGGGGGCAAGCGUUAUCCGGAAUUACUGGGUGUAAAGGGUGAGUAGGCGGCACGGCAAGUAAGAUGUGAAAG
rnacentral:rRNA from 1 species